UUUCCCUACGGGGGGCAGCAGUGGGGAAUAUUGCACAAUGGGGGAAACCCUGAUGCAGCGACGCCGCGUGAGUGAAGAAGUAUUUCGGUAUGUAAAGCUCUAUCAGCGGGGAAGAAAAUGACGGUACCUGACUAAGAAGCCCCGGCUAACUACGUGCCAGCAGCCGCGGUGAUACGUAGGGGGCAAGCGUUAUCCGGAUUUACUGGGUGUAAAGGGAGCGUAGACGGUGCGCCAAGUCUGGAGUGAAAUGCCGCAGCUUAACUGCGGAACUGCUUUGGAAACUGGCGAACUAGAGUGCGGGAGGG
rnacentral:rRNA from 1 species